rnacentral:rRNA from 1 species
AUUGAACGCUGGCGGCAGGCCUAACACAUGCAAGUCGAGCGAGCGGCGGACGGGUGAGUAAUGUCUGGGAAACUGCCUGAUGGAGGGGGAUAACUACUUGAAACGGUAGCUAAUACUGCAUACCAUCAGAUGUGCCCAGAUGUGAUUCGCUAGGUGGUGUGGUAAAGGCCUACCAAGGCGACGUUCCGUAACUGGUCUGAGAGGAGGAUCAGUCACACUGGAACUGAGACACGCUCCAGACUCCUGCGGCAUGCAGCAGUGGGGAAUAUUGGACAAUGGGCAAAAGCCUGAUCCAGCCAUGCCGCGUGUGUGAUGAAGGUCUUCGGAUUGUAAAGCACUUUAAGGUGGGAGGCGUUCCAACAGAAAAGCACCGGCUAACUUCGUGCCAGCACCGAGGUAAUUC